rnacentral:lncRNA from 1 species
AGCUUUUGUUGAAGGAGCUUUUUUUCUGUUCUGGUGAAUUCUUUCCUUGGGGGCCGUAGGGUCCCAGCCACUGACAGCAGGAUGGCUUUAAGAAAUGGCUCAGGGAACUGUUGGAGGCGUGUUCAUCACGACGGCAGGUUCCACGUCUAACGGCACAAGGUUCUCUGCCAGUGACCUGACCAACGGUGCAGAUGGGAUGCUGGCCACAAGCUCCAAUGGGUCUCAGUACAGCGGCUCCAGGGUGGAGACUCCGGUGUCCUACGUCGGGGAGGACGACGAGGAGGACGAUGACUUCAACGAGAAUGACGAGGACGACUGACGUCCUCCCCACUUCAGAUUCGGCUUCAGGAAAACGUUUAGCGAAAAGAAACUUUUUUUUUAAUGUGGGUUUUCUGUUUCCUUUUGGCCUACUCCCAAGAAGAUAUUGGUAAGCUAUUGAAUUUAGAUAUGCACCUCUGAUAAGCAAGGAUUGUUUCCCGUAGGAUUAGGACGUGCUGUGGAUGUGUGUUUUGAUACCAGUGUGCUGAUGCAGAGCGUUUAUUUACUUGUUAGGAUUUUGUGUUUUCAUUUGCUAUUUUUCUUUAAGUGCAGAGUUCAUUUUUGCCCCUGAAAAGUUUUUGCUGAGUUUGCUGAAGAAAUUGUAUUUCAACCACAUCCAUGAAAAUAAAACACCUCCUGUUGUGGAUGGUGAGCCCCUGAUGCCGCUUAUUUGCCGUGAGUUUGGACGGCACCCCUG